rnacentral:rRNA from 1 species
AUUGAACGCUGGCGGAAUGCUUUACACAUGCAAGUCGAACGGCAGCACGGGAGCUUGCUCCUGGUGGCGAGUGGCGAACGGGUGAGUAAUAUAUCGGAACGUAUCCAAUAAUGGGGGAUAACUAAUCGAAAGGUUGGCUAAUACCGCAUACGCUCUGAGGGGGAAAGCUGGGGAUCUUCGGACCUAGCGUUAAUGGAGCGGCCGAUAUCUGAUUAGCUAGUUGGUGAGGUAAAAGCUCACCAAGGCGACGAUCAGUAGCUGGUCUGAGAGGACGACCAGCCACACUGGAACUGAGACACGGUCCAGACUCCUACGGGAGGCAGCAGUGGGGAAUUUUGGACAAUGGGGGAAACCCUGAUCCAGCCAUUCCGCGUGAGUGAAGAAGGCCUUCGGGUUGUAAAGCUCUUUCGCAAGGGAAGAAACGUUACCGGUGAAUAUCCGGUGAUAAUGACGGUACCUUGAUAAGAAGCACCGGCUAACUACGUGCCAGCCGCCGCCGUAA